GCGCUAUUUUCCUUUUUGCUGCUAGCAUUAUUCAGAUCUCCUUGGUCAAGAGUGCCACCUUUCUCGUUUUGAUUUACUUCUGAUUGUUCGGAUUCACUUUUUCUUGACUGUUCUUGGCUCAUUUUGGGAUAAAUAAAUGGUGAUAUAUCAGCAUAUAUCUUGCUAAUCUGCAGAUUAAUUAUGGUGGCUGAAGGAGAAUAUGAAACUUGAUUAACUACUACGCAGAUUAAUUAAG
rnacentral:lncRNA from 1 species